CUGAGGGGAGAGAUUCCUCAGGGGGGACUGUGUAGGAAGCUACUCCUAGUGGUGCCUCCUUGGGAACAGAGGCUCAGAGAGAGAGAGAGGAACAGUCCUCUAGCAUAUUGUUUUGGACCUGCUGCUAUCGGAACAGCCAAUGACAUUGGAGAGUGACAUGGAAAUGCAAUGCUGAUUACAGCGAUGGUCAAAUCCUAGAGGUCUUCAUUCAGAAUUUCCUGGAAGAAUUGAUGGGAGAGGGAGAGGAGUCAGAUCCUUUGGAGUCAUCUUGGCAGUGUGCUCUUUAUAGAUGACUGCUAGAAAAGAGAGACAAGGUGGAUGAGGUAAUCUUUUUUUUUUUUUUUUUUUUUUUUUUUAUUGGACCAACUUCUGUUGGUGAGAGAGAGGCUUUUGAGCAUACACAGAGCUCUUCUUCAGGUCAGUGAAACUUACUCAGAGUGUCACAGCUAAAUACAAGGUGAAACAGUUUGUUUAGCAUAAGUAGUUAACACACAUUUCAAGGGACUAUUCAAGGCGAAGUGGCCCAUAAAGUCAUAGAGCGGCGGGGGGAGGGUUGUUAGUCAGUUAUAGAUUGUUGUAAUAGGCCAUAGAUCAAGUGUGUCUAUUCAGGCAAGAUUUUUAUUGUCUAGCAAAAUUAUGAAUU